AUUGACAUGACAGUGGUGGUAUGGUAGUUAAUGAGGUUAAUCCAAGGCAUCAUUAUUGCUAAUUGGAAACGUUUCAUUUUCUGGCUGUUCCACUACACACAUUUAUAAAACAACAGAAGGAAACGAAACACUGGGAGCACUUUUAAGCA